UACGUAGGGGGCAAGCGUUGUCCGGAAUUAUUGGGCGUAAAGCGCGCGCAGGCGGUCGUUUAAGUCUUCUGUUUAAUGCAUGGGCUCAACCCGUGUACGCAGAGGAAACUGGGCGACUGGAGUGCAGGAGAGGGAAGUGGAAUUCCACGUGUAGCGGUGAAAUGCGUAGAGAUGUGGAGGAACACCAGUGGCGAAGGCGACUUCCUGGCCUGUAACUGACGCUGAGGCGCGAAAGCGUGGGGAGCAAACAGG
rnacentral:rRNA from 1 species